ensembl:lncRNA
GUUUCACACGUUGGUGCGGACGGACUCCAUGAAGGUUUAUUCGUUCGGUCGUAACGAUCAGCAGCAGCUGGGACGUGGAGAGGACAGUCCGCCGUCCGUCCCGCUACCCGUCCCACUUCAACAACUGUGUGCCACAAGCGGUCUUGUGAUUGAGAACAUCUUUGCUGGAGGAGACAGCUCCUUUGCGACGUGCGUGCAUAAAAAGGAUCUUUGCAGAAGGUUAAAGAACGACGAGACACCGCCGUCCGUUGAAAACAUGGUGGAUACAUGGAUCUCUGGAUGUGAUUCAAAACUGCUGAAAAAGAUCAAAAAGUCAGUUUCAGCUCUGAGAUAUGAAUGUAAUAUUUAUUUUGGCGCCACCACUGUUAAUGGCACGUUUUAUUAAAUCACUCAGGGAAAUCCAUGAAACAUUUUCCUCUGCGUCGUGUAUGAACCGAAGCUUCCUCAGUCAAAGGUAUUCAGGUGCUCUCGUCUCUUAUUCACACCAGUUUCUACUUUAGAUUUCAUUUUCAUUCUCUUCUAGUAAGGACAAACAUUUCCAAACGUCUCCAGACUAUCCCGGUUUGGACUUCUCGCUCGCUCAAAGUGUUUUUAAGAAACUGCUGAAGAAGGAAGUUCUUUCGACUGAGGUAUUAAAAUAAAAGGUGGAGAAUCUGAGUAGGAAGGAUGGUUUCUGUAAUGUUUCUGCUGCCGUUUCACCAGGUUCAAGCUGCUGUCGUGCAGCUGCUUCCUGCUCUGGAUGGCAACCCGGUUGGUGUGGAGGGGCUGAGGGUCUUCCUGGUCCUGAAUGAGCUGCUUCAUGUGAUUCAGAAACUCAAAAAACAACCAAACACCAGACUUGCGGAAGAGGUCGCUGCUGCUGUGCAGAAACUCUCCCCUGAAAACCUUCAGAUUAUCGGGAGCUGGUGGGCCUCCCUACCCUCUGCUGUUAUGAUUCGACACGUGAAGGCAUGGAGGUCGGCGCUCUCUGUGGUUCUGCAUAUCUGGCCAGUUCCUCGGCGCUCCAUCAGAAACAUGCUGCUGGUCCUCAGGGACAUGUACAACGCCUGCAAGAAGAAAAUUCCUGAAAAGACUUUUUAUGUGGAGAUGGACCAAAUAAUUCUCCAAGAGGACCUGCAGCUUUGGCGUGCAGCGUCCAAAACCAAGGACGGGAAUCCUCCACCUCUCAUUCUCUGUGACUUCCGGUUUGUUUUGGAUCUGAAGUUAAAGAAACUCAUUUUUGACAACAACUCUUUAAUAACUCAGAGAGAACAUCAGACACCACAACAGAUGGGUUUUUACCUGAGAUGGAUUCCUCAAGCCGGUCCAGAUUAUUUCUGCCUGAAUGUGAAGCGCGCUUCACUUCUGGAGGACUCCUUCCUACAGCUGGCCGCUGCUCCUCUCUCCGAUCUGAGGAAACCUCUUGUUGUGAGUUUUUCUGGCUCCAUCCUCGCUGUUAAAACUCAACCAGACGCUCGUCCUCUCAGCUUCUGUUAUGUUAAACUUCUCAGGUCCAUUUUGAUGAAGACUCAAAGGUCACGGACGUCUACAAGAGAGACUUUUUCCACCACCUGUUUCUCCGCAUCGUGUCGGAUAAACCGGAGAUGUUUAUGUUCAACGACUCAGAAACACUCGUGUGGUUCUCCUCUGAGGUUCGUUCUGCUGACCGUAGCCACCUACUGCUCCUGGAGGGUUUGUUGUUAA